rnacentral:rRNA from 1 species
GACGAACGCUGGCGGCGUGCCUAAUACAUGCAAGUCGAACGCAGUGGGGACGGGUGAGUAACACGUGGGCCUCCUCCCAUUAGAGGGGAUAACACUUGGAAACAGGUGCUAAACCGAUAUUGAUGGAUGGACCCGCGGUGCAUGAGCUAGUUGGGGAGGUAACGGCUCACCAAGUCCACAAUGGAUAGCGGACCGGUGAGGGUGAUCGGCCACACGGGACCUAGACCACGGCCCGGACUCCUACGGGAGGCAGUGGUAGGGAAUCUUCGGCAAUGGACGAAGGUCUGACCGGGCAACCCCGCGUGAGUGAAGAGGGUUUUCGGAUCGUAAAACGCUGUUGUUAGAGAGGCGGUAUCUAACCAGAAAGCCACGGCUAACUACGUGCCAGCAGCCGCGGUAAUAC